rnacentral:rRNA from 1 species
GGGGACUACGAGCAAAAGCUUAAAACCCAAAGGACUUGGCGGUGCUUUAGACCCACCUAGAGGAGCCUGUUCUAGAACCGAUAACCCCCGUUAAACCUCACCUUUUCUUGUUAACUCCGCCUAUAUACCGCCGUCGUCAGCUUACCCUGUAAAGAAAUUUAGUAAACAAAAUUGGCUUAGCCCAAAACGUCAGGUCGAGGUGUAGCGAAUGAAAAGGGAAGAAAUGGGCUACAUUUCCUAAUUCAGGAAAUAACGAAAUACGUGAUGAAACAGAGUAUGAAGGAGGAUUUAGCAGUAAAUAGAAAAUAGAGUGUUCUAUUGAAACUGGCCCUGAAGCGCGCACACACCGCCCGUCACUCUCCCCAAGCCUAUUUCUAACUUUAACUAAAACCCUACUUCUGGUAAAGGGGAGGCAAGUCGUAACAUGGUAAGUGUACCGGAAGGUGCACUUGGAAAAAU